CAGAGAGCUCAGGUAGAUAACUUGGAGGACCAGGAAGCUGAAGCAGCAACGAUGAGGGUGUCUGCGUCUGAAGCCAUGAUUUAACUGUUAAGAUUUCAACAAAAAGAACUUAGGAUUCCUGGGAUUCCCACAUCAAAGAAAAGCUGCAAGCUUUCAGAAAGAGUUUUCCUUGGAUGAUAAAGAAGAACCUGCCAACCACCGGAGAGGCCUUGAUGCCAAGUGCUUAGCUGCACUCCCUAAAGUUGCAGAAUUAAGAAAAAUCUUCGAACCAAAGAGAAAAGACUUUUUAGAAAUGAAAAG
rnacentral:lncRNA from 1 species